GACCAUGUGGCCUAAUGAACAAGGCGUCUGACUUUGGAUCAGAAGAUUGAGGGUUCAAAUCCCUUCAUGGUUG
rfam:Oryzias latipes DNA, scaffold3633, strain: Hd-rR.